rnacentral:lncRNA from 1 species
UGACUUUUCCCUGAAAGACAAUUAACAAAAUAUUCUUCGAAGUAGUUGUUAGCAUAAACAUUAAAAAAUGUUUGGGUUCUGAUUCACGAAUAUGGGUAUAUCAAAAUCAAUUACGUUUCUCCCCCUUUAUCAUCGAUCAAAAAUAAAUAGUUAAGAGUAAUGUAAAGAGACAAACAUGAUUUCAUUGAAUUGUUCCAGAAGGCAGAAAUAGUACAAUCAUGUUAAAAAUACAAAAAGACAAAAACACUUAA